CCUACGGGGGGCAGCAGUGGGGAAUUUUGGACAAUGGGGGCAACCCUGAUCCAGCCAUGCCGCGUGUGUGAAGAAGGCCUUCGGGUUGUAAAGCACUUUCGGCCGGAACGAAAUCGCGCGGGCGAAUAUCCCGCGUGGAUGACGGUACCGGAAGAAGAAGCACCGGCUAACUACGUGCCAGCAGCCGCGGUAAUACGUAGGGUGCGAGCGUUAAUCGGAAUUACUGGGCGUAAAGUGUGCGCAGGCGGCCGCGCAAGUCGAGUGUGAAAUCCCCGAGCUUAACUUGGGAAUUGCGCUCGAAACUACGUGGCUGGAGUGUGGCAGAGGAAGGUGGAAUUCCACGUGUAGCGGUGAAAUGCGUAGAGAUGUGGAGGAACACCGAUGGCGAAGGCAGCCUUCUGGGCCAACACUGACGCUCAUGCACGAAAGCGUGGGGAGCAAACAGGAUUAGAUACCCUAGUAGUC
rnacentral:rRNA from 1 species